CCUACGGGAGGCAGCAGUGGGGAAUAUUGGACAAUGGGGGAAACCCUGAUCCAGCAAUGCCGCGUGAGUGAAGAAGGCCUUAGGGUUGUAAAGCUCUUUCGGCGGGGAAGAUGGUGACGGUACCCGCAGAAGAAGCCCCGGCUAACUUCGUGCCAGCAGCCGCGGUAAUACGAAGGGGGCUAGCGUUGUUCGGAAUCACUGGGCGUAAAGGGCGCGUAGGCGGCUUGACAAGUCAGGUGUGAAAGCCCCGGGCUCAACCCGGGAAUUGCACUUGAUACUGUCUCGCUAGAGUCCGGGAGAGGAUGGCGGAAUUCCCAGUGUAGAGGUGAAAUUCGUAGAUAUUGGGAAGAACACCGGUGGCGAAGGCGGCCAUCUGGACCGGUACUGACGCUGAGGCGCGAAAGCGUGGGGAGCAAACAGGAUUAGAUACCCUGGUAGUC
rnacentral:rRNA from 1 species